UGUCAAUCAUGCCUGUAUAAAAACCCCAAAGAAGGAGUUUGGGAGCUUCUGGGUUGGUGAACAUUGCAGAUUUAGGGAGAACAGCCCCUGGCAAGGGCAUGGAAGCUCUGUGUCCUUUCCCCAGACCUUGCCCUGUGCAUCUCUUUCAUCUGUCUCUUCCUGAGUCACAUCCUCUUGUAAGAAAACAGUCACCUGGAUUUGGCACACAUAAUCCUGGACUCAGAAGUCCCAAGAUCUGCAGUUGACAAGCUGGGGCCCCAGAGGAGCUGAUGCUGUAAUUUCAGUCUGAAAGCUGAUAGACUGGAGACCUUGAGUCAGCUGGAAAAAGACCAAUGUCUCAGUUUAAGCAGUUUUCAAAAGUCCAGAACCCAAGUUACACUGAAUACAUGCUGCACUGAGUGAGGACUCGGGCUGACAGGUGCACUCCAACACCUCUAAUGGAUCAACAUGAAUGAUGCGGCCUGUCAACAGCCCCAAGAUCUCUAUGCCCAUUUUACGAUUGUGUCCAGAGGCACUCCUCACUUCUUUAAGCUAAAAAUUCUAAGCUUGUUUCUUCCUUUCAGUGCU